AAACUGAGCAUUCACCCUGUCCAAUGGAAUUUUUCCCCCAGCAUAUUUGUACUUUUGAUAUUAUAAAUUUUUUUACUGAAUUUUUCAUUUUUAAAUUGCUAUAUUUAUUAGCAUAAUCUUUCUGCUGCCACAGAAUCCUAGAAAAAAAAAAAAGAAAAUACUUUUAUAUGUAAAAUUACCAUGCACUUAAUUCAAAAUAUAACAGUGAAAUUUGGGUAUUUCAUUAUUUCAAAUUAAUGAGAAACCCCUGGAAGCUUAAAUUCAUUAUACGCACGAACGCACGCGUGCACCCGUUUUGUUUCCAAGGUCAAAGUGAAUUCUUUGUCUCUGUGUGUACAUGCAGGUUGGGGGUUCAGAGGAUGGCCUCAGAUGUCAUUCCCCUGCACCAUUCUGCUUCGGGUGGUUUUGUUUUGUACAGGGUCUCUCAUUGGCCUGGAGCGUGUGGUUUACUCUAAACUGGCUGACUAAAUAACCUCGGGAAUUCUCCUAUCUCCCUUUCUCAGUCCUGGGAUUACACGUGUGCUGUAAUGUGGUUCUUUGUGUGGUUUCUGAGGAUCAGACUUAGGUCCUUAUUUAAUAAGAACUUUCUGCAUUUAAUCAUCUAUACAGAUCUAAAGUGAACUCCUUAUCAAUGCUCUCAUUUAAAAUAUGAAGAUGAAGCUGGAGAAAUGGUUCAGUCAUUAAGAAUGUGUACUGCUCUUGCAGAGGGCUUGGUAUUAGUGCCCACCAUCUACAUGGUGGCUCUCAAACACUUAACUCUAGUUCAAGGGGAUCGGAUUCCAUCCUCUAGUAUCUGUGGGCACUGCACAUACAGGUGAGGCAAUAAGAUAAGAUACAUGCAGGCAAAACAUUUAUUCACAUCAAGUCAAAAUAAACGUAAAACUAAGACGUGGAAAAUUGUGUAGGCUUUCUAAAAUAUACACUUUAUUUUCCAUCAGACAUGUUUCUUGGGCUUUGGGUAUUAUUGUUGCUUGUUUUGUUAUUAGUUGUAUUGCCACACACAGACUUUGUUUUGCAUUAUAUAAUUGAAUGAAAACAUUCUAUGGACUGCCACAAAAAUGAAACGUCUGAGUGUUACAGAACUUUUCGUUUUUGCCAGAGCAGAUACUCACAAUUGGAUAAAUAAUGUAAGAGAAGAUGAAUGAUUGUACAAAUCAUUUAGAAGGCCUAUGUUUUGUCAAUCAUAACUCCUGUAAUUACCAUGGAAUAAUAGUUUGAUUAAAUUUAUUGGGCCCUGGGAGCAAAUGUAUGUGGCAGUCUGAGGCAAACUUGUCAGUUCUCUUCUACCAUGGAGGGCCCACAGGUGAACUCAGGUUGUUGGGUUGGUAGCCACCUGUCUUGCUCAGCCUCAAUGGGCUUUUGUGUAUGCGCCUCUGUCACCAGUCUUCACCUAUUUUUCCCCCUAGCCCUAUGGGAAGGAAAGCAAUCUGAUGGACAGUCAAGCAGUCCCCAGAACUCAAAUUCCAGCUUUUCUUCCUCAGUGAAAGUGGAAAGUUCUCUGCUAGGCUUGGGGAAGAAGUCUUUCCAGAGGUCUGACAGACUCCACACAAGUAAGUUAGUUUACAAGGACUUCUUUUUUCAGUGCAACAGUGUGUUCACAGCAUAUUUGAAAUCAUUAGCCACUGGCUUGAGUUAUUGUAUAAUUUUAAUUUUAAUUUUAAAAAGUCAGACAUGAUUUCUUUCCUUUUUUGUUUUGAAACAAGGUCUCACUAUAAAACCCUGGCUGUCCUGGAAUUUGUUCUAUAGAUGAGGCUGGCCUUGAACUCAUAGAGAUCCUCGGGCCUUUACCUCCCAACGUGCUGGGACUAAAGUUGUGUGCUAGACAUACUUUCUUUGUUUUACAUUAUCUCGAUGUUUUUAAAACUGUUUCUGAUACAAUUUCUUUGGGGUUUCAUUUGGUUUUGUUGGUUUGUUUCAUAUGAGCAAUAACUGCCACAGCUUGGAUGUGCUAGGGACUUGGUCUACACUGAGCUGUACAGCCUGAACCCUAGCUGUCAGGUUUACUUGUUGCCUUUUACGACGGUUUCUCAUUAACGCUGUCUAAAAUACCCUAGGGCUCUCCUGCUUCAGCCUCACAAACGAUGAUAUAAUAGGAAACACCACCGCAUUGGCAUUUAAUAAUUGCUUUUCAGAGAUAAAAAGAAACAUGGAUAGAAUUUAUUUAAUGCCCUUUCUUAUUCGUUUCAUCCUUUUAUCUUAGUUGUCUUCGUAUUCUUCUGUCCAUCCCUUAUCAAACUGUUUCACAGAAAGAUCUGUUAUCAGCCUUUUUUCUUUUUUUGGUUUACCUCUCUUUGUACCAAUAGGUCCUACUUCGUUCUUGUUUUUAUAGAUAAAAAGAUAGAAGGGACUAUAAUUAAAUAUUGUAAACUGAACUCCCUUGGAAAUCCCACUAAAAAGAGAAUACGG
rnacentral:lncRNA from 1 species